rnacentral:rRNA from 1 species
CCUACGGGUGGCAGCAGUGGGGGAUAUUGCACAAUGGGGGAAACCCUGAUGCAGCGACGCCGCGUGGGUGAAGAAGCGCCUCGGCGCGUAAAGCCCUGUCAGCAGGGAAGAAAAUGACGGUACCUGAAGAAGAAGCCCCGGCUAACUACGUGCCAGCAGCCGCGGUAAUACGUAGGGGGCAAGCGUUAUCCGGAGUUACGGGGUGUAAAGGGGGCGCAGACGGCGAUGCAAGCCAGGAGUGAAAGCCCGGGGCCCAACCCCGGGACUGCUCUUGGAACUGCGGGGCUAGAGUGCAGGAGGGGCAGGCGGAAUUCCUGGUGUAGCGGUGAAAUGCGUAGAUAUCAGGAGGAACACCGGUGGCGAAGGCGGCCUGCUGGACUGCAACUGACGUUGAGGCCCGAAAGCGUGGGGAGCAAACAGGAUUAGAUCCCCCUAGUAGUC